rnacentral:rRNA from 1 species
UAUGAACGCUGGCGGCGUGCCUAAUACAUGCAAGUCGAGCGAACAGACGAGGAGCUUGCUCCUCUGACGUUAGCGGCGGACGGGUGAGUAACACGUGGAUAACCUACCUAUAAGACUGGGAUAAAUUCGGGAAACCGGAGCUAAUACCGGAUAAUAUAUUGAACCGCAUGGUUCAAUAGUGAAAGACGGUUUUGCUGGCACUUAUAGAUGGAUCCGCGCAGCAUUAGCUAGUUGGUAAGGUAACGGCUUACCAAGGCAACCAUGCGUAGCCGACCUGUGAGAGUGAUAGGCCACACUGGAACUGAGACACGGUCCAGACGCCUACGGGAGGCAGCAGUAGGGAAUCUUACGCAAUGGGCGAAAGUAUUACGGAGCAACGCGGCGUGAGUGAUGAAGGUGUUCGGAGCGUAAAACUGUGUUAUUAGGGAAGAACAAAUGUGUAAGUAACUAUGCACGUCUUGACGGUACCUAAUCAGAAAGCCACGGCUAACUACGUG